CCUAAUUUGACUCCACACGGGAGAACCCAGGCGGCCUGGACACUCUAAGGAUUGACAGAUUGGAUGCUCUUUCUCGAUUUGAUGGUUGGUCUUGUGUGGUCGUUCUUAGUUAGUGGAGCGAUUUGUCUUUUUUAUUCCGAUAACGAGCGAGAUUCCAGCCUGCUAAAUAGUGGCUGGAUAUAAAAAAAUAGUGGCUGGAUAUCUAUGCGUCCAGACUACUUCUUAAAGGGAUGAGCGCUGUUUCGCUGCACGAGAUUCAGCGAUAACAGGCUGUGAUGCACUCAGAUGUCAGAGGCUG
rnacentral:ncRNA from 1 species